UACGGAGGGGGUUAGCGUUGUUCGGAAUGACUGGGCGUAAAGCGCGCGUAGGCGGACCUGCAAGUCGGGGGUGAAAUCCCGGGGCUCAACCCUGGAAUGGCCUUCGAGACUGCCGGUCUUGAGUUCGAGAGAGGUGGGUGGAAUCCCGAGUGUAGAGGUGAAAUUCGUAGAUAUUCGGAGGAACACCGGUGGCGAAGGCGGCAUCCUGGACCAAUAUUGACGCUGAGGAGCGAAAGCUAGGGGAGCAAACGGG
rnacentral:rRNA from 1 species